rnacentral:rRNA from 1 species
UACGUAGGGGGCUAGCGUUGUCCGGAAUCAUUGGGCGUAAAGCGCGCGUAGGCGGCCCGGUAAGUCCGCUGUGAAAGUCCAGGGCUCAACCCUGGAAAGCCGGUGGAUACUGCCGGGCUAGAGUCCGGAAGAGGCGAGUGGAAUUCCUGGUGUAGCGGUGGAAUGCGUAGAGAUCCGGAAGAACACCGGUGGCGAAGGCGGCCUGCUGGGCAGUUGCUGACACUGAUGCGCGACAGCGUGGGGAGCAAACAGG